UACGGAGGGUGCAAGCGUUAAUCGGAAUUACUGGGCGUAAAGCGUGCGUAGGUGGUUCGUUAAGUCCGUUGUGAAAGCCCCGAGCUCAACUUGGGAAUUGCAGUGGAUACUGGCGAGCUGGAGUGCGGUAGAGGAAGGUGGAAUUCCCGGUGUAGCGGUGAAAUGCGUAGAGAUCGGGAGGAAGGCCGGUGGCGAAGGCGGCGCUCUGGAACGUACCUGACGCUGAGACACGAAAGCGUGGGGAGCAAACAGG
rnacentral:rRNA from 1 species